GGGGGCGACCUGGUUUCGACAGGGGUUGCAAAGCAGUGCAGGGCAUGCUGAGGACUGGUUACCUCAUAAAUCCAUCCAGAAAUGCUUAAAUGCAAACGAUGAAACCCCUUACGCUCUCGCAGCGUAAAUCACUAGAAACCUAAGAACCUUCUAGCUCCACACCGUCUCGUCCCUGGGGCGGGCUGGCAACAGCAGUGGAGUCAUUUACAGGGAAUCGCGUCAUGUCGGGCUACUUGGCAUGGCGUUAAACUUAGGUGGCUCGCCUUGACGAAGCGCGUGCGUCCGCGUCGGCAGGGUUAAAACCAAUAGGCUGCACUACGCAUGUAGAACUGUCUGUAGAGGGCUUCUGGACGCGGGUUCGAUUCCCGCCGCCUCCACCA
rnacentral:tmRNA from 1 species